AAAAAAAAAUUGUGGGCCCUGACAGAUUCUCCUGUUGAGGGUCACAGGGACACUAAGACUGCUAUGUGGAUCUUCGCUGACCAUGCCAUCCCGGGUGGUACUUUCUGCUGCUGCCACUGCAGCCCGCUCCCUGAAGAAUGCAGCCUUCCCAGGUCCAGGGAUAUUGCAAUCAACAAGGACCUUUUACACAGGGCAGCCCCACCUUGCUCCUGUACCACCUCUUCCUGAAUAUGAAGGAAAAGUUCAUCAUGGAUUGAUUCCUGAGGAAUUCUUCCAAUAUCUUUAACCUAAAACUGGUGUAACAGGACCCUGUGUGCUUGGAACUGGGCUUAUCUUGAAUGCUUUAUCCAAAGAAAUCUUUGUGUUUACCACAGAGACCUUCACUACCCUAUCAGUAGUAGGUUUAUUUAUCUAUGGAGUUAAAAAAAUAAGGUCCUUCCAUUGCAGAAUUUGCUGAUAAACUCAAUGAGCAAAAACUUGCCCAACUAGAAAAGGCGAAGCAGGCUUUCAUCAAAGAAAUCUAGGAUACAGUUGAUACGGAAAAGGCACAGCAGGCACUGGUUCAGAAGCACCAUUACCUUUUUGAUGUGCAGAGGAAUAACACUGCCAUAGCUUUGGAGGUUACUUACUGGGAACGACUGCAUAGAGUAUAUAAAAAACUAAAGAAUCGCUUGGACUAUCAUCUAUCUGUGCAGAACAUGAUGCGUCGAAAGGAACAAGAGCACAUGAUAAAUUGGGUGGAGAAGCAUGUGGUGCAGAGCAUCUCUGUACAACAGGAAAAGGAGACAAUUGCCAAGUGCAUUGCUGACCUAAAGUCUGGCAAAGAAGGCUCAAGCAUAGCCAGUUAUGUAAAUGUACCUGUUCCAAUUGACACAGCUAGAAACAGUUGACUGACUAAAUGGAAACUUGUUUAUUUGACAAAAUCUUUCUGUAUUUGUGUCUACUGAAGUUACGGUUUACCUCUCCUAAAAAUGAAAAGUUUGUUUUAAAUAGCGAGAGAACGAAAUCUCUAUUGGCCAGUCAGAUAGUUCUUAUCCUUCUUACUCUGCAUUUGAGUUGUUCAAUGAUCACUUCUGUAUAAGCAGUUUGCCUCUAUAAAAACUUGCUGCCUGACUAAAGAUUACCAGGUUAUAGUUUAAAUUUGUAAUUAAUUCUACCAUCUUGCAAUAAAGUGACAAUGGAA